rnacentral:rRNA from 1 species
AUGUUUUCUUUACUGUUCCCAUCCCUCCUGAUCCUUUUCCUUUUCUUUUUUUUGCGGGAGCUCCUGAUCCUUUUCCUGAAAUCUUCUUUAGCAAUUCUUUUCCUGAAAAAUAUCAAAUGUUGUUUGCCUUGUGCUACAGUUGUUUGGAUCGCAAAAGUAGACAAUCUCCGGGAGGCAUCUCUUGAAAAAUAUCAAAUAGCAUUGCUGGGUCGUCUACCUGUCGUCCAUUGCGCAAAUGCGAUCCACAUCGGCGUUACCGGAACAGCUGCUUUAUGCGUAAAGUCCCCGGGGCAAAUCAAGGUGCUUAGAUCUGUCGUGGUUAAAGUUUGCGCUAUCCAAACAUUCAUCCCCACUGCAAACAGCUGA